UGGGGGAUAUUGCACAAUGGGGGAAGCCCUGAUGCAGCGACGCCGCGUGAGGGAAGAAGGUUUUCGGAUUGUAAACCUCUGUCUUUGGUGACGAGAAUGACGGUAGCCAAGGAGGAAGCCACGGCUAACUACGUGCCAGCAGCCGCGGUAAUACGUAGGUGGCAAGCGUUGUCCGGAAUUACUGGGUGUAAAGGGAGCGUAGGCGGGGCGACAAGUUGGAUGUCAAAACUAUCGGCUUAACCGGUAUCAGCAUUCAAACUGCCGCUCUUGAGUGGAGUAGAGGUAAGCGGAAUUCCUAGUGUAGCGGUGAAAUGCGUAAAUAUUAGGAGGAACACCAGUGGCGAAGGCGGCUUACUGGGCUUUAACUGACGCUGAGGCUCGAAAGCGUGGGUAGCAAACAGGAUUAGAUACC
rnacentral:rRNA from 1 species